rnacentral:rRNA from 1 species
GGUUAAGCGACUAAGCGUACACGGUGGAUGCCCUGGCAGUCAGAGGCGAUGAAGGGCGUGCUAAUCUGCGAUAAGCGCCGGUAAGGUGAUAUGAACCGUUAUAACCGGCGAUACCCGAAUGGGGAAACCCAGUGUGAUUCGUCACACUAUCAUUAACUGAAUCCAUAGGUUAAUGAGGCGAACCGGGGGAACUGAAACAUCUAAGUACCCCGAGGAAAAGAAAUCAACCGAGAUUCCCCCAGUAGCGGCGAGCGAACGGGGAGGAGCCCAGAGCCUGAAUCAGCAUGUGUGUUAGUGGAAGCGUCUGGAAAGGCGCGCGAUACAGGGUGACAGCCCCGUACACAAAAGCGCAUGUGCUGUGAGCUCGAUGAGUAGGGCGGGACACGUGGUAUCCUGUCUGAAUAUGGGGGGACCAUCCUCCAAGGCUAAAUACUCCUGACUGACCGAUAGUGAACCAGUACCGUGAGGGAAAGGCGAAAAGAACCCCGGCGAGGGGAGUGAAAAAGAACCUGAAACCGUGUACGUACAAGCAGUGGGAGCACAGGUUUACCUGUGUGACUGCGUACCUUUUGUAUAAUGGGUCAGCGACUUAUAUUCUGUAGCAAGGUUAACCGAAUAGGGGAGCCGGAGGGAAACCGAGUCUUAAUUGGGCGUUAAGUUGCAGGGUAUAGACCCGAAACCCGGUGAUCUAGCCAUGGGCAGGUUGAAGGUUGGGUAACACUAACUGGAGGACCGAACCGACUAAUGUUGAAAAAUUAGCGGAUGACCUGUGGCUGGGGGUGAAAGGCCAAUCAAACCGGGAGAUAGCUGGUUCUCCCCGAAAGCUAUUUAGGUAGCGCCUCGUGAAUUCAUCUCCGGGGGUAGAGCACUGUUUCGGCUAGGGGGCCAUCCCGGCUUACCAACCCGAUGCAAACUGCGAAUACCGGAGAAUGUUAUCACGGGAGACACACGGCGGGUGCUAACGUCCGUCGUGAAGAGGGAAACAACCCAGACCGCCAGCUAAGGUCCCAAAGUCAUGGUUAAGUGGGAAACGAUGUGGGAAGGCCCAGACAGCCAGGAUGUUGGCUUAGAAGCAGCCAUCAUUUAAAGAAAGCGUAAUAGCUCACUGGUCGAGUCGGCCUGCGCGGAAGAUGUAACGGGGCUAAACCAUGCACCGAAGCUGCGGCAGCGACGCUUAUGCGUUGUUGGGUAGGGGAGCGUUCUGUAAGCCUGUGAAGGUGGCCUGUGAGGGUUGCUGGAGGUAUCAGAAGUGCGAAUGCUGACAUAAGUAACGAUAAAGCGGGUGAAAAGCCCGCUCGCCGGAAGACCAAGGGUUCCUGUCCAACGUUAAUCGGGGCAGGGUGAGUCGACCCCUAAGGCGAGGCCGAAAGGCGUAGUCGAUGGGAAACGGGUUAAUAUUCCCGUACUUGGUGUUACUGCGAAGGGGGGACGGAGAAGGCUAUGUUGGCCGGGCGACGGUUGUCCCGGUUUAAGCGUGUAGGUGUGUGUUCCAGGUAAAUCCGGUUCACUUUAACACUGAGGCGUGAUGACGAGGCACUACGGUGCUGAAGUAACAAAUGCCCUGCUUCCAGGAAAAGCCUCUAAGCAUCAGGUAACAUCAAAUCGUACCCCAAACCGACACAGGUGGUCAGGUAGAGAAUACCAAGGCGCUUGAGAGAACUCGGGUGAAGGAACUAGGCAAAAUGGUGCCGUAACUUCGGGAGAAGGCACGCUGACACGUAGGUGAAGUGAUUUACUCAUGGAGCUGAAGUCAGUCGAAGAUACCAGCUGGCUGCAACUGUUUAUUAAAAACACAGCACUGUGCAAACACGAAAGUGGACGUAUACGGUGUGACGCCUGCCCGGUGCCGGAAGGUUAAUUGAUGGGGUCAGCGCAAGCGAAGCUCCUGAUCGAAGCCCCGGUAAACGGCGGCCGUAACUAUAACGGUCCUAAGGUAGCGAAAUUCCUUGUCGGGUAAGUUCCGACCUGCACGAAUGGCGUAAUGAUGGCCAGGCUGUCUCCACCCGAGACUCAGUGAAAUUGAACUCGCUGUGAAGAUGCAGUGUACCCGCGGCAAGACGGAAAGACCCCGUGAACCUUUACUAUAGCUUGACACUGAACAUUGAGCCUUGAUGUGUAGGAUAGGUGGGAGGCUUUGAAGUGUGGACGCCAGUCUGCAUGGAGCCGACCUUGAAAUACCACCCUUUAAUGUUUGAUGUUCUAACGUGGACCCGUUACCCGGGUUGCGGACAGUGUCUGGUGGGUAGUUUGACUGGGGCGGUCUCCUCCUAAAGAGUAACGGAGGAGCACGAAGGUUGGCUAAUCCUGGUCGGACAUCAGGAGGUUAGUGCAAUGGCAUAAGCCAGCUUGACUGCGAGCGUGACGGCGCGAGCAGGUGCGAAAGCAGGUCAUAGUGAUCCGGUGGUUCUGAAUGGAAGGGCCAUCGCUCAACGGAUAAAAGGUACUCCGGGGAUAACAGGCUGAUACCGCCCAAGAGUUCAUAUCGACGGCGGUGUUUGGCACCUCGAUGUCGGCUCAUCACAUCCUGGGGCUGAAGUAGGUCCCAAGGGUAUGGCUGUUCGCCAUUUAAAGUGGUACGCGAGCUGGGUUUAGAACGUCGUGAGACAGUUCGGUCCCUAUCUGCCGUGGGCGCUGGAGAACUGAGGGGGGCUGCUCCUAGUACGAGAGGACCGGAGUGGACGCAUCACUGGUGUUCGGGUUGUCAUGCCAAUGGCACUGCCCGGUAGCUAAAUGCGGAAGAGAUAAGUGCUGAAAGCAUCUAAGCACGAAACUUGCCCCGAGAUGAGUUCUCCCUGAGACUUAAAGUCUCCUGAAGGAACGUUGAAGACGACGACGUUGAUAGGCCGGGUGUGUAAGCGCAGCGAUGCGUUGAGCUAACCGGUACUAAUGAACCGUGAGGCUUAACCCU